rnacentral:rRNA from 1 species
AGCGAACGCUGGCGGCAGGCUUAACACAUGCAAGUCGAACGCCCCGCAAGGGGAGUGGCAGACGGGUGAGUAACACGUGGGAACGUACCCUUUGGUUCGGAAUAACUUGGGGAAACUCAAGCUAAUACCGGAUAAGCCCUUAUGGGGAAAGGUUUACUGCCGAAGGAUCGGCCCGCGUCUGAUUAGCUAGUUGGUGAGGUAAUGGCUCGCCAAGGCGACGAUCAGUAGCUGGUCUGAGAGGAUGAUCAGCCACACUGGGACUGAGACACGGCCCAGACUCCUACGGGAGGCAGCAGUGGGGAAUAUUGGACAAUGGGGGCAACCCUGAUCCAGCCAUGCCGCGUGAGUGAUGAAGGCCUUAGGGUUGUAAAGCUCUUUUACCUGGGAUGAUAAUGACAGUACCAGGAGAAUAAGCCCCGGCUAACUCCGUGCCAGCCGCCGCGGUAA